GAGAAUAUGAAAAAAAAUGAGAGAGAGGGUACUAAGUAUUGGAUUUUGAAUUUGGCGCGGAGGUAGAGUGAUUGACUAGAGCUGACAAUAUGUAGUCUUUUUGCCAUAUUGGUGAUUGCUGAAGGCGAAUGGAUUGACAGAAAGGGAGGGAAGUUAAAGGAUCUAAGUUGUUAGGAGGAGAUAUAGGUGGUUCAUCUUGAGUUGAUGAAGUAGGGGAUGAGAAAGAAUCUGUGGUAGUAGGAGCAGGUUU
rnacentral:lncRNA from 1 species